rnacentral:rRNA from 1 species
UAGGGAAUCUUCCACAAUGGACGAAAGUCUGAUGGAGCAACGCCGCGUGAGUGAAGAAGGUUUUCGGAUCGUAAAGCUCUGUUGUUGGUGAAGAAGGAUAGGGGCAGUAACUGGUCUUUAUUUGACGGUAAUCAACCAGAAAGUCACGGCUAACUACGUGC